AGAGUUUGAUCCUGGCUCAGAUUGAACGCUGGCGGCAUGCCUUACACAUGCAAGUCGAACGGCAGCACGAGAGCUUGCUCUUGGUGGCGAGUGGCGAACGGGUGAGUAAUAUAUCGGAACGUACCCUAGAGUGGGGGAUAACGUAGCGAAAGUUACGCUAAUACCGCAUACGAUCUACGGAUGAAAGUGGGGGAUCGCAAGACCUCAUGCUCAUGGAGCGGCCGAUAUCUGAUUAGCUAGUUGGUGGGGUAAAAGCUCACCAAGGCGACGAUCAGUAGCUGGUCUGAGAGGACGACCAGCCACACUGGAACUGAGACACGGUCCAGACUCCUACGGGAGGCAGCAGUGGGGAAUUUUGGACAAUGGGCGCAAGCCUGAUCCAGCAAUGCCGCGUGAGUGAAGAAGGCCUUCGGGUUGUAAAGCUCUUUUGUCAGGGAAGAAACGGUGGACUCUAAUACAGAUCACUAAUGACGGUACCUGAAGAAUAAGCACCGGCUAACUACGUGCCAGCAGCCGCGGUAAUACGUAGGGUGCAAGCGUUAAUCGGAAUUACUGGGCGUAAAGCGUGCGCAGGCGGUUGUGCAAGACAGAUGUGAAAUCCCCGGGCUCAACCUGGGAAUUGCAUUUGUGACUGCACGGCUAGAGUGUGUCAGAGGGGGGUAGAAUUCCACGUGUAGCAGUGAAAUGCGUAGAGAUGUGGAGGAAUACCGAUGGCGAAGGCAGCCCCCUGGGAUAACACUGACGCUCAUGCACGAAAGCGUGGGGAGCAAACAGGAUUAGAUACCCUGGUAGUCCACGCCCUAAACGAUGUCUACUAGUUGUCGGGUCUUAAUUGACUUGGUAACGCAGCUAACGCGUGAAGUAGACCGCCUGGGGAGUACGGUCGCAAGAUUAAAACUCAAAGGAAUUGACGGGGACCCGCACAAGCGGUGGAUGAUGUGGAUUAAUUCGAUGCAACGCGAAAAACCUUACCUACCCUUGACAUGUCUGGAAUCCUUGAGAGAUCAGGGAGUGCUCGAAAGAGAAUCAGAACACAGGUGCUGCAUGGCUGUCGUCAGCUCGUGUCGUGAGAUGUUGGGUUAAGUCCCGCAACGAGCGCAACCCUUGUCAUUAGUUGCUACGAAGGGGCACUCUAAUGAGACUGCCGGUGACAAACCGGAGGAAGGUGGGGAAGACGUCAAGUCCUCAUGGCCCUUAUGGGUAGGGCUUCACACGUCAUACAAUGGUACAUACAGAGGGCCGCCAACCCGCGAGGGGGAGCUAAUCCCAGAAAGUGUAUCGUAGUCCGGAUUGUAGUCUGCAACUCGACUACAUGAAGUUGGAAUCGCUAGUAAUCGCGGAUCAGCAUGUCGCGGUGAAUACGUUCCCGGGUCUUGUACACACCGCCCGUCACACCAUGGGAGCGGGUUUCACCAGAAGUGGGUAGCCUAACCGCAAGGAGGGCGCUCACCACGGUGGGAUUCGUGACUGGGGUGAAGUCGUAACAAGGUA
rnacentral:rRNA from 1 species